rnacentral:lncRNA from 1 species
CUCUUAGGCUUUUUUAAAAGUUUCUCUCUGGACUUUUUUUUUCCCCCUUUUCCACUGUGCAUUCCUGGCAAUCCUGGAACUCCCUCUGUAGUCUAGGCUGGCCUGGCCUAGACCUCAGAGAUAGCUCCUGCUUCUGUUUCCCAAAUGCUAGGGUAAGAGGAGUGCUCUACUACCAUCCGAGUGCCUUUCUACUUUUGGGUUGUUGUUGUUGUUUAAGAAAGAGUUUUAUGUAGCUCAAGUUGUCCUAGAACUAGCUAACUUACAAUUUUCCUGCUGGCACCACCAAAGAGCUGAGAUGAUAAGUUUAUUCCACAGCAGUUUAUGUAGUGCUGAGGGUCCAACCCCGAUUUCCUGUGUGCUCAGCAAGCACCCUGCUCCUUGCGUCCCUCCCACACCCUGCAGCCCUGUACACCUCCCUCUCUCCCUAGUGUUGUAGCACUCUUGGAUCCUUAAAUGGAGAAACUAGGUGACAAAAAGUCAGUUAUGCAGGGACUUUUUCUGAUUGGAUGGUUUCAUUGUCUAUAUUUAGUGCCAGGAACACAGUGCACAGUAUUUGAUGAGUUUUUUAAAAACAAAAGAAGUUGUGGCCUUUUUGUAACAAAUUUAAGCUAGCUUGAGUGGUACAGGAUUUAUUUAUUUAUUUAUUUAUUUAUUUAUUUAUUUAUUUAUUUAUUUUGAGAUGGGAUCUCCUUUGGAGUGUGUGAUAGAGGAUGUGUGUGUGUGAGUAUAGGCAUGUGGAGGGUGGGGUGAAGGCUUUUGUUCUCCCACUGUAUGUUCUGGGGACAGAAAUCAGAUUAUCAGGAUGUGUGACAAGUGUACUUUGCUGGGUCUCAUAGUCUAUGACUGACUUGAACUUGUUGUAUAGCCUCUCCCUCCCACGCUGAGGUUCCAGGCAUUGUAGGAGUCUCCUGAGCAUCGGAGUGGGAGUGAGGCUGAAGGGGGUAGCUCCUCAGAUAGUCGGUGUCCGCUCUUUAUUUGGGGAGUGUUACUGUGAGAUUUGAGAGUUUUAGGUUGACUAUUAGAGUUACAAGAAAAAAAAUUUACUCCCAUUUGAACAGUUUUUAAGGAGAGUGAUGAUUUUAGACUAUUAUAAAUUGUAUGCUCAAAAAACUAAAACUUUUCAAAUGAUCAGGAGCAAAGAUCAUAUUUUUGUUUGUUUGUAAAUGGAUAAGCAAAGAUGACUGUAGUAACCAUUAGGAAAAAAAAGUGUGUGUAUGUGUUUGCUGUGUAGGUGCUUGUAUAGAGAUUAGAGGACAACUUUGUGGAGUUGGUUCUUUUUUCCCACCCUUACAUGGGUUUGAGGUUUGAACUUAGGUCACCAGGCUUGUGUGGAAAGCAUCUUUACUUGCUGAGCUAUCUCACCAGUCCCAGUAUCAGCUUUAAGGUCUGUCUUCUCUUUGUAUAGUAAGGUUGUUGCCUUUUGUUCUUGUAACCUUCAUUUUCAUGUUACAAUAGUGCAAAUAUUCUACUUUUUAAGUUAUGUUACUUUAUGUGUAUAGGUGAUUUGCCUGCGUGUAUGUCUUACCAGUUGUAUGCCUGCUGCCUGCAAAGGUUAGAAGAGAACAUGGCUCCUCUGGAUCUGGAGAUAGAGAUGGUAGUGAACCACCAUGUGGGUAAUGGGAAUUGAACCUGGACCCUCUUAACCUCUGAGCCAUAUCUCCAGCCUCAUAUUCUAUUUCUUAAUUUCUAUUUCUUAAUGCUUAAUAUCAAAAGAGAUUCUAAGCAUUUUCAGGUUUAAAAACAUUAGAACCAUCUACAUAUUAUUAGUUUGUGAUGGUUUUAAAAUCAUAAAAUGUGGGCCUGUAAGAGGACUCAGUGGGUUAAGGUACUUACAUGCCAUGCCUGGUGACCUGAGUUGGAUCCCUGCAACACAUGAUGGAAGGAGAAAACCAACUCCUGCAGGUAGUCUUCUGACAUUAGCAUGUGUGCCAUGGUGCAUACUCCCAUCCCCAGUAUAAAUGUAAUAAAAGAAUAAGAUCAUGUUAUGUGAUAAUCGGAAGGGUUAGAUUGGGACUCUGAGCCAUCUAGGUUCUUCAUAGAAGCAUGCAUCAUCAGUGAAUCAUAGGGUACAAAUAAGUAAUAUUUUGGCCUUAUUUCUCUCCUCAUCUCUAACAGCUUCUUCUAUCCUUCACUACUACUACUUUUUUUUUUAAAGAUUUAUUUAUUGUAUGUGAGUAUACUGUCCCUAUCUUCAGACACACCAGAAGAGGGCAUCAGAUUCCAUUACAGAUGGUUGUGAGCCACCAUGUGGUUGCUGGGAAUUGAACUCAGGACCUCUGGAAGAGCAGUCAGUGUUCUUAAUGGCUGAGCCAUCUCUCUGGCCCCCAAUAUUGUUCAUUUACUUGUUUGUUUGAAGCAAGGAUCUUACGUAUCUCAGGCUGUCUUCAAAUUUGCUGUGUGACUGAGACUACAUCACUUGUGGCUUUGAGUUCUUAGCAUUAGAAUUUUUCUUCUUAUAAACACACAUACAAGAUGACUAAAUGAAAAAUGGAAUUAUCUGUAUAUUUCUUGUUCUUAGGGUAGAUUCCUUGUUUGUUUGUUUUUAAGAUUUAUUUAUUUAAUGUAUAUGAGCAUCCUGUUGCUGACACACCAGAAGAGGUGUGUAUCCAAUUACAAAUGGUUAUGAGCCCCACCAUAUGGUUGCUGGGAAUUGAACUCAUGACCUUUGGAAGAGCAGACAGAGCUCUUAACCACUGAGCCGUUUCUUCAGCCCCAUAUUUUUUGUUUAUAAGGUAUCCUGAAACACCUCCAAGAGGGCAAUGUAGUUUAAAAGCAGCUAUGUAUGCUGUUUUUACGAUGAGGCCAGAGGUUGAUAUUAGGUGUCUUCCUCAAUUGCUUCCCACUACAUAUUUUAAAAAUAAGACUGAUUGAUUUAAUUUGUAUGUGAGAGCAGUAGCAUGAGUUCCCUGGAACUGGAGGUGCAAGGUGCUGUGAGCUUGUAUUGUGGGGGCUGAAAACUGAACCUGGGUUCUUUGCAAGAGCACCAAGUUCUUGAAACUGCUGAACCGUUGGUCCAGGUCCUAUUUUUUAAAUGUUAUCUUAUGUGUGUAUAUGUGGUGGUGGGAGCAAGCAUACAUGAAUGAUAUGGUUUGCAUUUCAUAGUGUUCAUGUCAGGGUCGGAAGAUAACUCUAUGGAGUUGGGUCUCACUUUUUACUUUUAUGUGGAUUCCAGAGAUUGUCAGGCUGGUGCUGCAAGCAUUUUUUACCUGCUGAAUAUCUAGCUUUCCAUGUUUUUGAAACAGGUCUCUCAGAGGGUAAAGUGCUUGAGGCCCGGAGUUAUAAUCCCCAGCAUCAGUGUAAAAGCUGGGCUUGGUAGCAUGUUUGUAAUCAGUACAAGGUUGGGAGCAGAGACCAAUAAGUUUCUGUAGUCCAGGUUGGCCUUAAACUCACAGAGCUCCGUUUGCCACCUUGUGCUAGGAUUCAAGGCAUGCCCAGCACCUGUGUUCUCUUUGUGUAUGUACAUUACUUGUGUAGAGUUGUGUGCAGAGGCCCUAAGUACCUGGAGUUGCAGGCAGUUGGUUCUAGGAAUUGACUUUGGGUUGUCUAACCACUUAGCUUUCAUCCUUCAGCAGAAACACCCAUCAUUCUUGUGCAUUUCUCAUUCUCAGGAUAACUACUGCUUCACAGUUUGUUAAUGAGUGCAUACCUGUGGAAGUAACUUAUAGAACGUCUUCUCUAAAGAAUAGACUUAAUUAUUUCCAGAUUCAGUUUUAAUAUUGCUUCAUUCUCAGACACUGACUUCAAUCAAAGUC